UACGAAGGGGGCUAGCGUUGUUCGGAUUUACUGGGCGUAAAGCGCACGUAGGCGGAUUGUUAAGUCAGGGGUGAAAUCCCGGAGCUCAACUCCGGAACUGCCUUUGAUACUGGCAAUCUUGAGGCUGGAAGAGGUUAGUGGAAUUCCUGGUGUAGCGGUGAAAUGCGUAGAUAUCUGGAGGAACACCGGUGGCGAAGGCGGCAUCCUGGACCGAGAUUGACGCUGAGGCGCGAAAGCCAGGGGAGCAAACGGG
rnacentral:rRNA from 1 species